rnacentral:rRNA from 1 species
GACAGAGGUGCCAAGCGUUAGGCGGAAUUACUGGGCGUAAAGCGCACGUAGGCGGACUAUUAAGUCAGGGGUGAAAUCCCGGGGCUCAACCUCGGAACUGCCUUUGAUACUGCAAGUCUCGAGUCCGAUAGAGGUGAGUGGAACUGCGAGUGUAGAGGUGAAAUUCGUAGAUAUUCGCAAGAACACCAGUGGCGAAGGCGGCUCACUGGCCCGGUACUGACGCUGAGGCACGAAAGCGUGGGGAGCAAACAGG